CAAAAUGGAGAGUUUGAUCCUGGCUCAGGAUGAACGCUGGCGGUAUGCUUAACACAUGCAAGUCGAACGGUGUUUUCGGACACAGUGGCGGACGGGUGAGUAACGCGUGAGAAUCUAGCUUCAGGUCGGGGACAACCACUGGAAACGGUGGCUAAUACCGGAUGUGCCGAGAGGUAAAAGGCUUGCUGCCUGAAGAUGAGCUCGCGUCUGAUUAGCUAGUAGGUGUGGUAAGAGCGCACCUAGGCGACGAUCAG
rnacentral:rRNA from 1 species